rnacentral:rRNA from 1 species
UGCUUAACACAUGCAAGUCGAACGAUGAAGCCCUUCGGGGUGGAUUAGUGGCGAACGGGUGAGUAACACGUGGGCAAUCUGCCCUUCACUCUGGGACAAGCCCUGGAAACGGGGUCUAAUACCGGAUACCACUCCUGCCUGCAUGGGCGGGAGUUGAAAGCUCCGGCGGUGAAGGAUGAGCCCGCGGCCUAUCAGCUUGUUGGUGGGGUAAUGGCCCACCAAGGCGACGACGGGUAGCCGGCCUGAGAGGGCGACCGGCCACACUGGGACUGAGACACGGCCCAGACUCCUACGGGAGGCAGCAGUGGGGAAUAUUGCACAAUGGGCGAAAGCCUGAUGCAGCGACGCCGCGUGAGGGAUGACGGCCUUCGGGUUGUAAACCUCUUUCAGCAGGGAAGAAGCGAAAGUGACGGUACCUGCAGAAGAAGCGCCGCUA